AAAAGACUAGUACCGAUAAGAUUUGAAUUUUGAAAGAGACUAACUUUAUUGUCACCAAAUGACCAUGAAUAACCGGAUAUGUCCAAUUUGGGAACAGAAAUUAAAUUCCGUCUAAAAGACGGUACAACAAAAGUCUCAUUCAAAUCUAAAUAAAAACCCGUCUUGAACAAUAGCCUAAAUUUUCCAAUAGCCUCAACUUCAACCCUUUUGCCGUCACCCACAUAGAUGUAUCUUUCACCAUCAUUUGGUUUUCGGCAGUUCAGGNNNNNNAGGUACAAUCUUUCUUCACAUGAUUAGUCCCCUUACAGAAAAAGCAACCUAAUUCAGUAAUUUCAACCUUAGGUUCCU
rnacentral:lncRNA from 1 species